rnacentral:rRNA from 1 species
GACGAACGCUGGCGGCGUGCUUAACACAUGCAAGUCGAACGACGAAGCCGGAGCUUGCUCCGGUGGAUUAGUGGCGAACGGGUGAGUAACACGUGAGCAAUCUGCCCUUGACUCUGGGAUAACUGCGGGAAACUGUAGCUAAUACCGGAUACGACACCUUGGGGCAUCCCAGGGUGUGGAAAGAAUUUCGGUCAAGGAUGAGCUCGCGGCCUAUCAGCUAGUUGGUGAGGUAACGGCCCACCAAGGCGACGACGGGUAACCGGCUUGAGAGGGUGACCGGUCACACUGGGACUGAGACACGGCCCAGACUCCUACGGGAGGCAGCAGUGGGGAAUAUUGCACAAUGGGCGCAAGCCUGAUGCAGCAACGCCGCGUGAGGGAUGAAGGCCUUCGGGUUGUAAACCUCUUUUAGCAGGGAAGAAGCGAAAGUGACGGUACCUGCAGAAAAAGCACCGGCUAACUACGUGCCAGCAGCCGCCGUAA